rnacentral:rRNA from 1 species
GAUGAACGCUGGCGGCGUGCUUAACACAUGCAAGUCGAACGAAGCACUUUAUUUGAUUUCCUUCGGGACUGAUUAUUUUGUGACUGAGUGGCGGACGGGUGAGUAACGCGAGGGUAACCUGCCUUGUACAGGGGGAUAACAGUUGGAAACGGCUGCUAAUACCGCAUAAGCGCACAGCAUCGCAUGAUGCAGUGUGAAAAACUCCGGUGGUAUAAGAUGGACCCGCGUUGGAUUAGCUAGUUGGUGAGGUAACGGCCCACCAAGGCGACGAUCCAUAGCCGACCUGAGAGGGUGACCGGCCACAUUGGGACUGAGACACGGCCCAAACUCCUACGGGAGGCAGCAGUGGGGAAUAUUGCACAAUGGGCGAAAGCCUGAUGCAGCGACGCCGCGUGAGCGAAGAAGUAUUUCGGUAUGUAAAGCUCUAUCAGCAGGGAAGAUAAUGACGGUACCUGACUAAGAAGCACCGGCUAAAUACGU